UUGUAAAGCACCUUUAAGCGAGGAGGAGGCUACUUGGAUUAAUACUCUAGGAUAGUGGACGUUACUCGCAGAAUAAGCACCGGCUAACUCUGUGCCAGCAGCCGCGGUAAUACAGAGGGUGCGAGCGUUAAUCGGAUUUACUGGGCGUAAAGCGUGCGUAGGCGGCUUUUUAAGUCGGAUGUGAAAUCCCUGAGCUUAACUUAGGAAUUGCAUUCGAUACUGGGAAGCUAGAGUAUGGGAGAGGAUGGUAGAAUUCCAGGUGUAGCGGUGAAAUGCGUAGAGAUCUGGAGGAAUACCGAUGGCGAAGGCAGCCAUCUGGCCUAAUACUGACGCUGAGGUACGAAAGCAUGGGGAGCAAACAGGAUUAGAUACCCUGGUAGUCCAUGCCGUAAACGAUGUCUACUAGCCGUUGGGGCCUUUGAGGCUUUAGUGGCGCAGCUAACGCGAUAAGUAGACCGCCUGGGGAGUACGGUCGCAAGACUAAAACUCAAAUGAAUUGACGGGGGCCCGCACAAGCGGUGGAGCAUGUGGUUUAAUUCGAUGCAACGCGAAGAACCUUACCUGGUCUUGACAUAGUAAGAACUUUCCAGAGAUGGAUUGGUGCCUUCGGGAACUUACAUACAGGUGCUGCAUGGCUGUCGUCAGCUCGUGUCGUGAGAUGUUGGGUUAAGUCCCGCAACGAGCGCAACCCUUUUCCUUAUUUGCCAGCGGGUUAAGCCGGGAACUUUAAGGAUACUGCCAGUGACAAACUGGAGGAAGGCGGGGACGACGUCAAGUCAUCAUGGCCCUUACGACCAGGGCUACACACGUGCUACAAUGGUCGGUACAAAGGGUUGCUACCUAGCGAUAGGAUGCUAAUCUCAAAAAGCCGAUCGUAGUCCGGAUUGGAGUCUGCAACUCGACUCCAUGAAGUCGGAAUCGCUAGUAAUCGCGGAUCAGAAUGCCGCGGUGAAUACGUUCCCGGGCCUUGUACACACCGCCCGUCACACCAUGGGAAUUUGUUGCACCAGAAGUAGGUAGUCUAACCGCAAGGAGGACGCUACCACGGUUCCCA
rnacentral:rRNA from 1 species